rnacentral:rRNA from 1 species
UACGUAGGGUGCGAGCGUUAAUCGGAAUUACUGGGCGUAAAGCGUGCGCAGGCGGUUUGUUAAGCCAGAUGUGAAAUCCCAGGGCUUAACCUUGGAAUGGCAUUUUUAACUCCCGAGCUAGAGUAUGUCAGAGGGGGGUAGAAUUCCACGUGUAGCAGUGAAAUGCGUAGAGAUGUGGAGGAAUACCGAUGGCGAAGGCAGCCCCCUGGGAUAAUACUGACGCUCAGGCACGAAAGCGUGGGGAGCAAACAGG